UGAACGCUAGCGGCAGGCCUAACACAUGCAAGUCGAACGGUAACAUAGAUUGCUUGCAAUCUGAUGACGAGUGGCGCACGGGUGCGUAACGCGUAUACAAUCUACCUUUUACAGGAGGAUAGCCUUUAGAAAUGAAGAUUAAUACUCCAUGGAAAGUGACUGUGGCAUCACAGAUACUUUAAAGCUUCGGUGGUAAAAGAUGAGUAUGCGUUCUAUUAGCUAGAUGGUGUGGUAACGGCAUACCAUGGCAACGAUAGAUAGGGGCCCUGAGAGGGGGAUCCCCCACACUGGUACUGAGACACGGACCAGACUCCUACGGGAGGCAGCAGUGAGGAAUAUUGGACAAUGGAGGCAACUCUGAUCCAGCCAUGCCGCGUGCAGGAAGACUGCCCUAUGGGUUGUAAACUGCUUUUAUACAGGAAGAAACCUCCCGACGUGUCGGGAUCUGACGGUACUGUAAGAAUAAGGAUCGGCUAACUCCGUGCCAGCAGCCGCGGUAAUACGGAGGAUCCAAGCGUUAUCCGGAAUCAUUGGGUUUAAAGGGUCCGUAGGUGGAUAAUUAAGUCAGAGGUGAAAGUCUGCAGCUCAACUGUAGAAUUGCCUUUGAUACUGGUUAUCUUGAGUUAUUAUGAAGUAGUUA
rnacentral:rRNA from 1 species